UACGUAGGGCGCGAGCGUUGUCCGGAAUUAUUGGGCGUAAAGAGCUCGUAGGCGGCUUGUUGCGUCUGCUGUGAAAUCCCGGGGCUUAACCCCGGGCGUGCAGUGGAUACGGGCAGGCUGGAGGCAGGCAGGGGAGAAUGGAAUUCCCGGUGUAGCGGUGAAAUGCGCAGAUAUCGGGAAGAACACCCGUGGCGAAGGCGGCUCUCUGGGACGGUACUGACGCUGAGACGCGAAAGCGUGGGGAGCGAACAGG
rnacentral:rRNA from 1 species